GAUGAACGCUGGCGGCGUGCCUAAUACAUGCAAGUCGAGCGAACAGACGAGGAGCUUGCUUCUCUGACGUUAGCGGCGGACGGGGGAGUAACACGUGGAUAACCUACCUAUAAGACUGGGAUAACUUCGGGAAACCGGAGCUAAUACCGGAUAAUAUUUUGAACCGCAUGGUUCAAUAGUGAAAGACGGUUUUGCUGUCACUUAUAGAUGGAUCCGCGCUGCAUUAGCUAGUUGGUAAGGUAACGGCUUACCAAGGCAACGAUGCGUAGCCGACCUGAGAGGGUGAUCGGCCACACUGGAACUGAGACACGGUCCAGACUCCUACGGGAGGCAGCAGUAGGGAAUCUUCCGCAAUGGGCGAAAGCCUGACGGAGCAACGCCGCGUGAGUGAUGAAGGUCUUCGGAUCGUAAAACUCUGUUAUUAGGGAAGAACAUAUGUGUAAGUAACUGUGCACGUCUUGACGGUACCUAAUCAGAAAGCCACGGCUAACUACGUG
rnacentral:rRNA from 1 species